GGCACAUUGGCGCAAUGGUAGCGCUUCGCGCUAAUAACGCGAAGGUUGUGGGUUCGAGUCCUUCAUGUGCCA